UACAUGUGUGUAUGGUGCAUACAUAUGUGUGUUUUAUAUUUGUGUGUUUGUUUGGAUGCAUGUGUAGGUCACACACGGUGGUCUUGUGGCUUGGGGGUAAAUGUGAGAACAUUGCAGUUAGCCCAAGAAUGACCACAGUUCUAUUUCAGUGAAAACCAGUUGCCCAGUGCAGGUGUGACUUCCUUUCCCGCAGGUCGGAGCCCUGCCCCAUGCCUGCCUGGUGUUACAGUUAUGCCUAGGUAGGUAUCAGAUCACUUUACCUCCUGCAAGAUUACAAACCCAACAGGACCAGUGAUUCCAUCGGUCCGAGGCUGAGGCAGGCUUGGUCUUCUGCUUUGGAUCAGAUCUGGAAAAUCUUGUUUUCCCAAGGUCACAUUUAUUUACAGUAAGAUGGAGCCCACCUUGUCGUACUUGUUUAAACCUUGGCAGCUGUGUGCCAGAAAUCUGUCCUAAAGGUCCUCCGGUUGCCUAAUCAAGGGCAACCGUGUGCCUUUUCACUGCAUAAUAAUAUCCCACUGCAUAGACUUAGCUUGGGUUACCUGCUGGCCUGCCAAUGGUCUUUUGGGCUCUAUUCAGCUUUUGGCUGGUGUGAAUGAGAAUUUAUCUGACAGACUUUUUGGUGAUUUCCCAGCCCCUCUCAAGGCUGAUGUGAGCAAAAGACCCUGCCUGGUCAACCAGCCUUCAAGGACAGUUCACAGUAUGGCUACGGAAAGGAAAAGGAGAGAAUUCGCAUCUCCAUCGACCUGUUGAUGGAGGCAGCCAUGAUCAGAUGUGGUACCUAAAGAGAUUCCUGCUGGGGAGGUCAGGAGAGCAGCAGGCGUGCUGGGAGUCCAGGCAUGCCCUGAACUGAACGCCAUCGCUCUGCUGUGUCCAGCUUCUCACCACACCAGUGCCUUGUCUGUAUUGUGUGUUACACCAGUCAGCAUUUUACUAUUGAGAACCAGCACAGGCUUCUCCCCCGCCCUGCCCCCAAAGCUCUAGUCUGAUCUAGAAAGUCUGUUUCCAGCAGGCAAAUUAACUGAGUGCUUUUAUCACCAGUCUUUUAGGUGAGGGGAGCUGAAGUGGGAAGAGAGUCAAGGGUUGAGACCCAAGGACCUCGGUAGAGAGAACUCUCAACCCCGGACAGCCAAACCAGGGUUCUAAUCCUGAGAUUUCCCCAGCACCCUCCAUGUGCCUGAGCAUGUGCCAUAUAUCUGAGCAUGCGCUGUGUAUCUGAGCAUGUGCCAUGUAUCUGAGCAUGCACCAUGUGCCUGAGCAUGCACAGGUCCUGCUGGUGGGCAGGGGCCAGAUCCAACAGGCUAAUAGCACAUUCAUUUUUCCUUCCUGCAAAUGAUCUCAGCUGGAAUCAAGUGGCCAACUUAUGACAUUAUGGGCUAAAAUUCUUCUUCGCCACGGGUCCCUGGGAGAGGGAGUCGGAUCUUCUUGCUGAGUCCUUUGCUUAGUGUCCAGUAAAGACACAGGUUGUCUCUAUGCUAUGAGUGGGCUCCCCACAGGUGACACACUUUAACAAGUCAUGAGUGGUGCCAGGACUCCGGCUAACAUCCUUAGAGGCUGCGGAAGGGACAUCACACCUCAGCUCAGAUUUGCACUACAGCCACACUGUGUGCCCUGUCCCACCCCCAAAGGCUCCAGCAGAGGCUAGCAUUUUCUGGAGGAUCACGACAGCCUUCCCAGGUAAGCAAUCACAUUCUCAGCUCAGAAAUACAGACAGUGGGAGCGGGGGAGGGGGUGUCAAAUGGCCAGCAUCCAGGGCUACAAUGGCAACAGAUGCUCUGGUCAGGCACGCUCUGGUAACACUCAUCACCAACCCUGCCAUUAGCAAAGGCAAACCCAUACUUACAAUCAAGUGGAUUGUGUGACUGGGGCCCGAGUGUUUCCAGGAACAUGGGCCACAUCCCUGUCUGCCAUCGGCCUCUUCCUCUUCACAGGCCCUCUGAGCUCGGCAGAGGGUUCUGUGACAUUAUGGGAUGGAACAGUCUGCUUCUCUCUCUCCCCCUCCCCCUCCCCCUCCCCCUCUCAAUGCUGUUUCUAGCUUUUAGGAAUGAGGUUGGCCCUGCUUUCCAUGGGAUAGUAAUGAAGUCAAGGUCUCAGGGCCAAAGGUUUUGAACAUUUUAAAUAGUCGGGCACAUGGCUGGCCAUGGUGUAAGCUCAGAGGAAACAGCCUGCAUUUGGCUUCAAGGAGUCUAGCUCAGCGCCAUCAGCUCAGAUGGCAAGUUGGCUGUGCUCAGUCAGUUGGCCAUGACUGUAGGCAUACAUUUUUUUCAACCUACUUUCAAUAAAUAUUCAACCUCUCCUCUUGUCCGUCACCCAGCAGAGCUAGUGAAGAGAAAAUUUAUUAGGAUAUGGGGGGAGUGGACCUGUUUAGCAGUAGUCCUUUGGGGGCAAGCCCGAUCUUCUCUGGCAGCAGCUCAGUCCCAUAGCAAACACCACAACUACGACUCAGCAGCUGCUGACCAGUCCUCCAGGCAGGCGGACGCCAGGCACCAACCAGCAGCUGUAGUUCAAUCCUGAAGAAACCGCAAGGCUCGCCAACCAGCCUGAGGCCACUCAAGUGGCAAGAGGCUCCAAGAACCUCACGAGAAGUUCUUUGGUGUUAGUGGGGUCGUCUAAAGGGACAACCAGGACAACCGCUCAUGGACGGAUAGUCAGUGCUGGCUGUUAGCCAGGAACUCGGCUGAAGCAUCAACAAGGACCCUCCUCUCCCUCUACCCAUCCCAUGCACUGGGGCGUCCAUGUGCCCACAGCAGCUUGGCUCCCAUGGAGAAGGAACUGUGAAGAAACUCAAAUGUCUGGUUGAAAAUUUGCGUUCCAAGUGAAAAUGAGGUUGCAGAAGAGUCACAUUCCUGGGGGAAUGGUACCUUUCCCACGACAAGUGUGCCACAGGACCAGAGAAGCAAGGACAGACAGAGGCCUCAGUUCAAGUCUAAGACCAGCCUGUCUCAGAAUCGAGCAGAACAAAACCCAAAGGUGGUAAUAAACGGCUAGAUCAAAGUUCUAAUCCAGCCUGGAGAGCAGGUGGCAUUUGACUCCGCACAAGCCGCUAGCCUGUGGGUGCCUCCGUUUUCCAUUCCAACAACAAAUGUCAGACGAAUGUAAUUAGUUAUAAUUCCCCCAGGGAUUCCUGGGUAGUUAGUUAUAAUUCCCCCAGGGAUUCCUGGGUAGUUAUAAUUCCCCCAGGGAUUCUAGGAUACAGCCAGGACAAGGACCCUCAGAGUGAGGGCUGUAACUCUUCAGCUGUUUUUAAUCUGAGAUUCAUUUCUUCAAACACAAGUUCAGCUGGAUGAAGCCUAAUGUGCAGAGCCAAGGCUGUUCCCCAAAUGGAAGGGCCCCUGAGUCCUGCCUACUCGGUCACACCCAACCUAAGGACCAGCUCCUCCCGACCUCAGACAAGAUUUCUGCCGGAUUUGAUUUAAAACUCCUGGAGAUGAGACAGUUUCUAAGACCAUUUGGAGACUUAAGCCUUCAGCGUCACGUGAGACUGUGAGGCUGUGAAGCCAACCAGCAACAGAGCAUGUCUGUUGUGAACAUCCUAGCUCAUCUGUCUUCUUGCUGAAACCACCCUGAGUUCUGCUUGGCUGUCGAUGGAACCAUGGAGUAAAGUCUGCCUCAGUCCCAGCAACUCAGCCAGCUGCUAACUCCAUCUACAUCCUCGAGAGACAUCUGGGUGUCUGGCCUUUCAGAGGCCAAGGGGAUGGUUCCAUCCAACACUCCAGUGUCCACAAAGCAGUGGGCAAAAUGUCAUUAUCAACAAUAGCCUCGGAACCACAGGCUGCUGUGAAGGAAGAUUGUUCAUGUUACACAGGAAGAUGGGGAUUCCACUUUGCAGACACACUGGGAAGGGUUUGGUGUCUCGGGGGGUUGUUGUUGGAGUUUAGAGUGGGGAGUUGUUUUGUUUUGUUUAAUCAGAAAUAAGACCCCAGCUAGCAGAUCCCA